GCGUUUCCGCGGUGUGUAUAGGUGUGCUAAUCGAGACGAUGCGAGAGGAAAGAAGGGGAUACGGUUUUUUUCCAGAUGAAUUGAAGGAUAAUUGCUUCAUUUUCUUUCGAAAUUCAUGUCAGAAACGUAGUCAAGAUUUUCAGUCACACCAAUUUCUACCUUAUUUGCCAUGUCAGGAGCUUCGUCCGGGAUAUUUCACAUAUGUCUGAAACAUGAUCAUCCAUGAGUUAACGACGUUUGGUAUUUUAAAUGAUUAAAAGUCUUUGUCAUUAGAAUUUUUAUUUAAAUAAAAAAGUUGUA